AUACGUAGGUGACAAGCGUUAUCCGGAUUUACUGGGUGUAAAGGGCGUGUAGGUGGUUUAGCAAGUCAGAAGUGAAAUUCCCGGGCUCAACUUGGGCGCUGCUUCUGAAACUGCUUUACUUGAGUGCUGGAGAGGAUAGUGGAAUUCCUAGUGUAGCGGUAAAAUGCGCAGAUAUUAGGAGGAACACCGGUGGCGAAGGCGGCUAUCUGGACAGUAACUGACGCUGAGGCGCGAAAGCACGGGGAGCAAACAGGAUUAGAUACCCUGGUAGUCCGUGCCGUAAACGAUGAAUACUAGGUGUAGGGGGUAUCGACUCCCUCUGUGCCGCAGUUAACACAUUAAGUAUUCCACCUGGGGAGUACGGCCGCAAGGUUGAAACUCAAAUGAAUUGACGGGG
rnacentral:rRNA from 1 species